UACGAAGGUCCCGAGCGUUGUUCGGAAUCACUGGGCGUAAAGGGAGCGUAGGCGGUUUGGUAAGUCAGAUGUGAAAUCCCGGGGCUCAACCCCGGAACUGCAUCCGAUACUGCCAGACUUGAGUAAUGGAGAGGUAGCUGGAAUUAUCGGUGUAGCAGUGAAAUGCGUAGAUAUCGAUAGGAACACUCGUGGCGAAAGCGAGCUACUGGACAUUUACUGACGCUGAGGCUCGAAGGCUAGGGGAGCGAAA
rnacentral:rRNA from 1 species